GAGUUUGAUCAUGGCUCAGGAUGAACGCUAGCGGCAGGCUUAAUACAUGCAAGUCGAGGGGCAGCGCGGGUAGCAAUACUUGGCGGCGACCGGCAAACGGGUGCGGAACACGUACGCAACCUUCCCAAAACUGGGGAAUAGCCCUCCGAAAGGAGGAUUAAUACCCCGUAACACAAUUAAGAGGCAUCUCUUGAUUGUUAUAGCUCAGGCGGUUUUGGAUGGGCGUGCGGCUGAUUAGGUAGUUGGCGGGGUAACGGCCCACCAAGCCAUCGAUCAGUAACUGGUGUGAGAGCACGACCAGUCACACGGGCACUGAGACACGGGCCCGACUCCUACGGGAGGCAGCAGUAAGGAAUAUUGGUCAAUGGACGCAAGUCUGAACCAGCCAUGCCGCGUGAAGGAUGAAGGCCCUCUGGGUUGUAAACUUCUUUUAUCUGGGAACNNNNNNNGGGGGAUUCUUCCUCCNUUUGACCGGUACCAAAAGGAAAUAAGCACCGGUCUAACUCCGUGCCAGCAGCCGCGGUAAUACGGAGGGGGUGCAAGCGUUAUCCGGAUUCACCUGGGUUUAAAGGGGGCGUAGGUGGGCAGGUAAGUCAGUGGUGAAAUCUUCGAGCUUAACUCGGAAACUGCCAUUGAUACUAUCUGUCUUGAAUAUCCUGGAGGUGAGCGGAAUAUGUCAUGUAGCGGUGAAAUGCUUAGAUAUGACAUAGAACACCAAUUGCGAAGGCAGCUCACUACGGGAUGAUUGACGCUGAGGCACGAAAGCGUGGGGAUCAACAGGAUUAGAUACCCUGGUAGUCCACGCCCUAAACGAUGGAUACUCGACAUAUGCGAUACACUGUAUGUGUCUGAGCGAAAGCAU
rnacentral:rRNA from 1 species